rnacentral:rRNA from 1 species
CAGCCGCCGCGGUAAUACGAAGGGGGCUAGCGUUGCUCGGAAUGACUGGGCGUAAAGGGCGCGUAGGCGGUUCGUACAGUCAGAUGUGAAAUUCCUGGGCUCAACCUGGGGGCUGCAUUUGAUACGUGCGGACUAGAGUGGGGAAGAGGGUCGUGGAAUUCCCAGUGUAGAGGUGAAAUUCGUAGAUAUUGGGAAGAACACCGGUGGCGAAGGCGGCGACCUGGUCCUUGACUGACGCUGAGGCGCGAAAGCGUGGGGAGCAAACAGGAUUAGAUACCCGCGUAGUCCCUGUCUCUUAUAU